rnacentral:rRNA from 1 species
GCAGCCGCCGCGGUAAUACAGAGGGUGCGAGCGUUAAUCGGAUUUACUGGGCGUAAAGCGUGCGUAGGCGGCUUUUUAAGUCGGAUGUGAAAUCCCUGAGCUUAACUUAGGAAUUGCAUUCGAUACUGGGAAGCUAGAGUAUGGGAGAGGAUGGUAGAAUUCCAGGUGUAGCGGUGAAAUGCGUAGAGAUCUGGAGGAAUACCGAUGGCGAAGGCAGCCAUCUGGCCUAAUACUGACGCUGAGGUACGAAAGCAUGGGGAGCAAACAGGAUUAGAUACCCCGGUAGUCCCUGUCUCUUAUAC